GUCGAGAAUCAUUCACAAUGGGGGAAACCCUGAUGGUGUGACGCCGCGUGGAGGAUGAAGGUCUUCGGAUUGUAAACUCCUGUCAUGUGGGAGUAAAGCCGGGUGUUAAAUGCAUGCCGGUCUGAGAGUACCACAAGAGGAAGGGACGGCUAACUCUGUGCCAGCAGCCGCGGUAAUACAGAGGUCCCAAGCGUUGUUCGGAAUCACUGGGCGUAAAGGGUGCGUAGGCGGCGCGGAAAGUCAGGGGUGAAAUCCCGGAGCUCAACUCCGGAACUGCCUUUGAUACUCCCGCGCUUGAGAACGGGAGGGGAGACCGGAAUUCACGGUGGAGCAGUGAAAUGCGUGGAUAUCGUGAGGAACACUAGUGGCGAAGGCGGGUCUCUGGACAGUAUCUGACGCUGAGGCACGAAGGCCAGGGGAGCGAACGGGAUUAGAAACCCGAGUAGUCC
rnacentral:rRNA from 1 species